UACGGGGGGUGCGAGCGUUGUUCGGAAUUAUUGGGCGUAAAGAGCGUGUAGGCGGCUGGAUCAGUCAGAUGUGAAAUCCCUGGGCUUAACCCAGGACGUGCAUUUGAAACUGUCCAGCUUGAGUAGGGGAGAGGAAAGUGGAAUUCCUGGUGUAGAGGUGAAAUUCGUAGAUAUCAGGAGGAACACCGGUGGCGAAGGCGACUUUCUGGCCCUAUACUGACGCUGAGACGCGAGAGCGUGGGUAGCAAACAGGAUUAGAUACCCUGGUAGUCCACGCUGUAAACGAUGUUCACUAGGUGUUGGGGGUAUUGACCCUCUCAGUGCCGCAGCUAACGCAUUAAGUGAACCGCCUGGGGAGUACGGUCGCAAGAUUAAA
rnacentral:rRNA from 1 species